AUACGGAGGGUCCGAGCGUUAAGCGGAAUUACUGGGCGUAAAGCGCGCGUAGGCGGAUAUUUAAGUCAGAUGUGAAAUCCCUGGGCUCAACCUAGGAACUGCAUUUGAAACUGGAUAUCUAGAGUAUGGUAGAGGUGAGUGGAAUUUCAGGUGUAGCGGUGAAAUGCGUAGAGAUCUGAAGGAACAUCAGUGGCGAAGGCGACUCACUGGGCCAUUACUGACGCUGAGGUGCGAAAGCGUGGGUAGCAAACAGGAUUAGAAACCCGAGUAGUCC
rnacentral:rRNA from 1 species